rnacentral:lncRNA from 1 species
AGCAGCCAACCAAGAUGGUGAGAAAGCGCAUGGCGUCCGAGAUCGAAGUCCAAACCACCCCGACGAUCAGAACCAUGUGGCGGAGACUGCUCUCUUCCUCUCAGCUCAAAACCUUAACCCUAGCCGCAUUCUCUGAUCUCACCCAGCUGCAGAUCUGAACGACGCCGCUAGACACCGGCACCACCGAGGAGCUCAUCCGCCUCGUCCCCUGCGCCAAGGCCAAAGGCGC